UGUGCACGAUUACAAGCCUCACUUUCAAUUUUGCUACAGGAGAGGACACAUCGCCUACCUCCAAGAUGCCACCUGCCACGGUCCUAAAAAGGAGGCAUGACUUGAAGUAGGUUAAUAAUAUGGGUCUGAAGCUCCUUAAGAAGAUUAAGGAUAUUAGAAUUCCCCCCAGGACAGAGCUAGGGAGAGUAAAGUCUCUAGUUCGUACAGAGGACUUAUCAGACGAUGACUGCAAACGUCAUUUCACGAGUAUUACUGGGGAGGAUGCAGCGCAGUUACUAGAGCUUGCGGCUGCACCUGUUAACGGGGAUAACUUGAAGAAACUCCUACAUGUAACGGUCAUCCUAGCUAAUGAGAUAGGGCAACCGGCGGGGGAGGACCUGCGUCAUGUAGAAAACGAGGAUUCGGGAGAUGAAGACCCUCCUCCUAAGAAGAAAAAGAAGAAUCAUGAUCUUCUGCAAAGAGUAGCAGAUCUAGAAAAGUCAAAAGAAGAUAACGUUAAAGAGUUGAAAGAUAAGGUGAGGAGUUUAGCUUUACAGGCAAACCCCAGCGAGCCUCUAAUUCUCCUUAGUCUUGACGAGUUGGUAAAAAAGGCCAGAAGGCAAAACGACGAUGAUGCAGAAACAUUCGAUGAAUUAGCGCGACAAGCGAGAAGACAUCAGGGGUCGAUAAAUGUUGCCACUCUAACGUUGAAUGUUCUAGGGGGGAAAGCUUCUGAUUUAGUGGGAAAAGCAAUGGCAAAAUGUCUCAAGGAGAAGGAAGUGGAACAAAAGAUCACAGGGAAUAAAGCUAAUCAUAUGGAAAAAAUGGAAAUCACUUCUCCCUUGGCUAAUGCUUACCCCCCUGCUACCUGAAUGCCUAACUAUUUCAUGCCUCAUAUGCCCACUGGAUGGCAGCAGGGAAUGUUUCCCUUUAGUACUAGUAUGUACCAUAAUCAAGGCCCUAGAAGAUUUAGCCAAAGAAAUGGCCAGUGGAGGCCAGGAGGAAAUUGUUUCUUCUCCAAUUCGAAUGAUCACGUUGUGAAGGAUUGUGAGAAGAUGAAAAACGAUAAGGGAAAAUAAUUGUAUCGAGUUUUGUAUCUAGUUUGUAACAUUUUUUAUAUCUAGUUUUUCAUUAAUUAGUGCUUUAAAUCAUAAUUUGUAGUUUUUAAGAUUAGUAUAUUUUUGCAUAAAUUUUGCCUAUGCAUUUUU